GCAUUGCACUCUGCACAUAUCAUCUCCAUGUCUCUGUCGAGUGCACCGACAUCAAUUCCUAGAAAUAUCUUUUUUCUGCCCGACUUAUUAGCACAUACACGGUUAUGUCUUGAGUUUGGGGCUCAAAGCGAAACCCCCUCAUUAACCAACCGUGAAGGCCGCCAAAACUCCUAUCAACAGGUUUUUCAAUGCCCUUAACGUUGUACCUGAAUUGACUUAAAUCUACCCUAUAUGGACCAUACAUAAUGUUUUCUUCACCAUGGUACAACCGAAAUUGUACUUUAUUUGCCAUACAUGCAAUGGGAAUAGACUAUAUUUUUAACACACACUGUAGCACACUACGAGUAUGCACGUACAAGAUAACUAAUACCACAUCAGUGUACUUUAACUAAUCAUUAGGACACAUGUUGACUAAUCAUAACAUGCAUGUCAAUUAUACUAUGUACUACUACAUUGUAACAUGAUCGAGUAGAUACGUUGUAAUCUUAAUCUUAAUAUAUUAUGUAACAAACUUAUUGCAAACUUUAUUCCUAACUAGAUCAAAACCUACCUAGAUUUUUUUACUAAACUAACUCCUAAUUUACUAUGUCACUACUUUAUUGCAAAGUAAAUUUCUACAAAAAAACACAUUGCACAAUAAAUAAAUCAUCAUAUUUUUACUACAAGUGACAAUUAUUUCAUACAUAAAAGGAUUUCAAAUACUUACAUGAGUUGGACACAAAAAUCCGGCGGUGUACCUCCCCUUCAUAUGAUAUUCUGGUCGGCACCAUGUCUUCUCCUUCCUCCUCUUCCUCAUGUCCAACUCCUUCUUCAUCUUUAUUACAUGAGUCAGCUUCAUCUCUUCUUCGACUAGGUCCCUCAUCCUCGUGGGUGGUC
rnacentral:lncRNA from 1 species